rnacentral:rRNA from 1 species
AGCAGCCGCGGUAAUUCCAGCUCCAAUAGCGUAUAUUAAAGUUGUUGCAGUUAAAAAGCUCGUAGUUGAAUUUCGGGAUCAAUAUGUCGGUCGUGCCUUGGUACGUACUGGUAUCAUUGGUCUCUCCUUUCUGACGAACCAUGAUGUCAUUAAUUUGGUGUUAUGGGAAGUUAGGACUGUUACUUUGAAAAAAUUAGAGUGUUUAAAGCAGGCUUUAGCUUGAAUACAUUAGCAUGGAAUAAUGAAAUAGGACGUUUGAUUCUAUUUUGUUGGUUUCUAGGAUCGACGUAAUGAUUAAUAGGGAUAGUUGGGGGCAUUAGUAUUCAAUUGUCAGAGGUGAAAUUCUUGGAUUUAUUGAAGACUAACUACUGCAAAAGCAUUUGCCAAGGAUGUUUUCAUUAAUCAAGAACGAAAGUUAGGGGAUCGAAGACGAUCAGAUACCGUCGUAGUCUUAACCAUAAACUAUGCCGACUAGGGAUCGGAUGAUGUUAAUUUUUAAUGACUCAUUCGGCGCCUUAAC